ensembl:lncRNA
GUCAUGGGAAUUUCCAUUCCUGGAAGUGAACAGUCAUGGGGUACGGCUUUCUCGCGCUCAUCCUCUCGCCGAUCACGCGCGAGGUGAUCUGGAGGUCGCGCUGCAGGUGCUACACUCAGGAUGAGCACACGUGUGGAAGUUAGUCACACACAGCUGUCAAAUUACAGCCCAGAGACUGACAGAUCCGCCCUUCCCUUUACAGACGGGAGCUGUACGGUGUGGCGCUAAGCUAAUGAGAAAGCGGUACCUGUGAGAGGCGGGGUGAGGAACACGACCAGAACCACCAGCGAGAUAUUUGUUACAAACGUGAGGACGAAAUCAGCGCGAGGGGAAAUAACAGAGCGGAAACGCGUCUGCGAUAGCCACGGGCUGGGUGUGUGUUCUUAUUUAUCCCUCACUAAUGUACUGGUGUCGAUGGUAUUUAGUGCGAACGCUGAAAAGACUUUACAUGAAUUAAAAAAUAAUAAUAACUUGAUUAUAAAUAAAAGACAGUGAUUCUAACUGAUCUGAAGAUGUGACGUGGUCUUAAAGAAACUGAGCUGCACGGACAGCUACGACAACGCUCGUAAACAGAUCAUCUCCUGUAAAAGGACGAGCAGAGAGACGACCCGUGUCCUCCGUUUCUAAUCACAGCACAGGAUACAGGGCCAACAGCUCAUCUCUCGGAGCGCCGUCCUCCAAAACACACGCAGACCCAUGGAGAAGAUCUACAGUGCCCUUCUAUCCAGAGCUGUUCUUCCAUCCUGUGUCUGUCUUCCUCUCUCUGUCUUUCUCCCUCAGUCUCUCUCACUUUCCCAGCAUCUCUCCCAGUCUCUCUCUCACCAGUGUCUCUCCCCCAGUCUCUCUUACUUUCCCAGUGUCCCUCUCACUUCCCCAGUGUCUCUCCCCCAGUCUCUCUUACUUUCCCAGUGUCUCUCCCCCAGUGUCUCUCUCCCAGUCUCUCUUACUUUCCCAGCAUCUCUCCCAGUCUCUCUCACUUCCCCAGUGUCUCUCCCCCAGUGUCUCUCUCCCAGUCUCUCUUACUUUCCCAGUGUCUCUCUCCCAGUCUCUCUUACUUUCCCAGUGUCUCUCUCCCAGUCUCUCUUACUUUCCCAUGUCCUCUCCCAGUCUCUCUCUCACUUCCCCAGUGUCUCUCCCCCAGUGUCUCUCUCCCAGUCUCUUACUUUCCCAGUGUCUCUCUCCCAGUCUCUCUUACUUUCCCAGUGUCUCUCUCCCAGUCUCUCUUACUUUCCCAGUGUCUCUCUCCCAGUCUCUCUCUCACUUCCCCAGUGUCUCUCCCCCAGUCUCUCUUACUUCCCAGUUGUCUCUCUCCCAGUCUCUCUCUCACUUCCCCAGUGUCUCUCUCACAGUCUCUCUCUUACUUUCAGUGUCUCUCUCCCAGUCUCUCUUACUUUUCCCAGUUGUGUCUCUCUUACUUUCCCAAUGUCUCUCUCUCACUUCCCCAGUGUCUCUCUCUCCCUGUCUGUCUCUCACUCCAGUCUCUCACUUUCCCAGCAUCUCUCCCUCCCAGUAUCUCUCUCCCCGUUUCUCUCUCUCUCGCUCCCCCCGUGUCUUCCUCCGUGUGUCUUUCUUUGUGUGUCUCUCACUCCAGUCUCUUUCUUCUCCCUCAGUCUCUCUCACUUGUCCUGCAUAUUUCUCCCUCUCUUUAGAUGACUUCAAGUCGUGCUGAUUAUAAAUCCCUCGGUUCACACCUCGGGGGUUUGGACACCUGCAGCAGGAGGUGUUAUGCGCGGGCGCAUCAUCGUAUGCGAGAGGCUGCGCCGUUGGGCUCAGGUGUUCCCCGCCGUCAUCCUACAGACGCAUGACAAACCCAGACGGUGAGUAAGAACCCAGCACACGUACAGUGUAAGAAAGAGCGCGUCAGGCCCGACUAUCCUCUCGUCCUCGGUCUUUACAUCAACAUCGCUGCACUGCCAAGGCCAGGACCGAGGCUGCCAAAACUAUUGGCGUCCUGUCUAACGCUCAGGCCUGGAGGACAGGCCGGACUGCACUCACGCCCCGGGCCACGUAAUCACAAUGAUACGACUUAUUUUUUGAAAUACAGACUAAAAAGCAUUCCAUAUAUCAUCAUCUACUCCUAAUUUAGCUACCACUUACCCACAUGUGCAAAUUUAUGUUAAAAUAAAUAAAUAAACCGAUAAAUAAAUAAGCUGUAAGAUGUAGUUGAACACGAAGGCUAUUUCAGUUCAAAAAGGACACAAGCGUCCGCGUCGGUGCUGUAGGAUCGGGGUAGUAAUUCAUCGAAAUACUGUACUUCGAGGCUGACUUUGGUUACAAAACCACACCAUACAGCAGCACGGACCUUUUAACUACAACCCUGAUUCCAAAAAAGUCGGGACGCUGUGUAAAAUGUAAAUAAAAACAGAAUGCCAUGAUUCUCAAUUCUCAUAAACCCCUAUGUAAUUCACAACAGAACACAGAAGACUUAUCAAACGUUUAAACUGAGGAAACUCACCGUUUUAAGGGGGGGGGAAAUAAGGUCAUUUUAAACCCGAGGCCGAAAGACGUCUCCAAAAAGCUGGGACGGGGACAAUAAAACGCUAGAGAAGUAUGUGUUAGUGAAAAGACAGAGCUGGAGGAAGAUUUUGCAAGUAAUUAGGGGAAUUGGGAACGGGUCAGUAAGAUGAUCUUAGAGAUACUGUUUUGAUGUUCAAAAAAAGUAGAGAUGUUCAUGUAAGGUUUAUGGAAGGAGUCUCCAGCCUCCGCCUCUUUCUUUCUACCGACGCGUACUUUUCCAGCCUUUUGUUGUCCCCCUCCCAACUUUUCUGCUUCUAUUGUGAAUAGAGCAUGGCUUUACGGGAUUUGUAAAAACGGUGUUUUUAUCCACAUUUAUUUCACACAGCGUCCCAACUUUUUUGGACUUGGGGUUGUAUUUACACAGGGUGAAAUGUGGAACGAUCAGGAGAGAUGGCGAGGUAUAAUGUGAAAUGUAAGGCGCACUUCUCCAUGUGGCUGACUUGAUGAAGCGUGAUGCAAUAAGCAGAGACAAAGCGUGGAGUUCUCGCUCCUGGGGUUUGUGCCAAGUGUGAAUAUUCCCCAGCCUCGCAUUCUGUCUCCUCUGUUACUGAUUUAAACACUCAGCUUCGUGUGUGUGUGUGUGUGUGUGUGUGUGUGUGUAGAAUCGUGAGCUACGACAUAAUCCGGUGCUAACGCUGUGCUUGGAGAAAGGCAGAGAAAUGUUCGACACUCGGGUACAGCGCUGGAUUGCAUGGUGGUCGGUGAUAAUAACCCUUCAUUUGUUCACCUGUUCUCUCGCGCUAAACAGGAACAAACGGGCCGCUGUACAGCUGUACAACAGUUCACGGCGUCUCCUGCGUUCUCUCUCCGACGCCCACUUACCUCCAGACGUGUACACCGGGUGAAGCAGAUAAACAUGAGCUCGGGGCGCUGAUGCUAAGUUCCCUCAGCAGGACACGUUCACUGAUGUGUUUAACUGUCAACUCCCUGCCUUUUUACCGUGUGUGUGUGUGUGUGUGUACGGCAAUAAAACACCAAGCGCCUGGUUAACUUCUGCAACUGGGAAUUGUCAAACAAAGCACAUUUAAACCCACACACGGAUGUAACAGGCUGUUACAUGAAAGUAAGAGAAUUCUGGAUUCCGAUUGGUCAAAAGGUGUCGAAUCAUUUUCUAGAAAAGCAGCGCCGACAGUAACGAGAGGUUUAUAUUAAUGCGCUCGUGCCGAUACGUCAUGCUUUCUAUAGUAACUCGGAAGGCGAAUAAAACCUCGAGGGCAUGUGUAAUGGAGUGUUCUGUACGGAGAUGUUCGGGUAACGUUUAUGGAAGGAGUCUCCAGUGUCAGAGCUUUGUAACAGCGUUUUAACUUCACGAGACAGAGAGAUAGAGAGAGAGAGAGAGAGAGAGAGAGAGAGAGAGAGAGAGAGAGAGACACAGAUAGUGAGAAAGAGACACACACAGAGAGAGAGAGACAGAGAGAGAGAGAGAGAGAGAGAGAGACAGAGAGAGAGACAGAGAGAGAGACAGAGAGAGAGAGAGAGAGAGAGAGAGAGAGACAGAGAGAGAGAGAGAGAGAGAGAGACAGAGAGAGAGAGAGACAGAGAGAGAGAGAGACAGAGAGAGAGAGAGAGAGAGAGAGAGAGACAGAGAGAGAGAGAGAGAGAGAGACAGAGAGAGAGAGAGAGACAGAGAGAGAGAGAGAGAGAGAGAGAGAGAGAGAGAGACAGAGAGAGAGAGAGAGAGAGACAGAGAGAGAGAGAGAGAGAGACAGAGAGAGAGAGAGAGACAGAGAGAGAGAGAGAGAGAGAGAGAGAGAGACAGAGAGAGAGAGAGAUCGAGGAACUCGCUUGUUUCUCGGACAUCAAAAACGUAACUAUAAAUGGAUAAAAAAAAAAAAGUACGAUUUUGUUGGUUAAUGAAUGAAACAUUGUAACGGUUGGCAAACUGCUGCGGUUUAAGUGGAAUAAAACGCUUCGGGACGUGCCGUUUUAUACGCGGGUAACAGUGACUCCACUUGACGACGGGUUAUUUUCCUACUGUUACGUCCCCGGUGUCCGUGAUCCGUGAUCCAUCAUCACGAGCCUCGAGUCACUGUGGCGAUAUCGCCAUCUCCGACAAGAGCCCAUAGCAACACAGUGAGGGGGACGG